rnacentral:rRNA from 1 species
UACGGGGGGAGCAAGCGUUGUUCGGAUUUACUGGGCGUAAAGGACGCGUAGGCGGCGCAACAAGUCACUUGUGAAAUCUCUGGGCUUAACCCAGAACGGCCAAGUGAAACUGUUGUGCUAGAGUGCAGAAGGGGCAAUCGGAAUUCUCGGUGUAGCGGUGAAAUGCGUAGAUAUCGAGAGGAACACCAGAGGUGAAGACGGGUUGCUGGGCUGACACUGACGCUGAGGCGCGAAAGCCAGGGGAGCAAACGGG